rnacentral:rRNA from 1 species
GACGAACGCUGGCGGCGUGCUUAACACAUGCAAGUCGAACGGAAAGGCCCUGCUUGCAGGGUACUCGAGUGGCGAACGGUUGAGUAACACGCGGGUGAUCUGCCCUGCACUUCGGGAUAAGCCUGGGAAACUGGGUCUAAUACCGGAUAGGAGCCAUUUUGAGUGUGAUGGUUGGAAAGUUGUUUCGGUGUAGGAUGAGCGCGCGGCCUAUCAGCUUGUUGGUGGGGUAAUGGCCUACCAAGGCGGCGACGGGUAGCCGGACUGGGAGGGUGGACGGCCACAGUGGGACUGGGACAGGGCCCAGACUCCGACGGGUGGGAGCAGUGGGGAAGGUUGCACAAUGGGCGCGAGCCUGAUGCAGCGACAGCGCGGGGGGGAUGGCGGUCUUGGGGUUGUGGACUUCUUUCGCUAGGGCCGAAGCUUUUUGUGACGGUACCUAGAGAAGAAGCUCCGGCUAACUACGUG